CUGGAGGGCCCGUCCGUCCGUCGCUGAGCAGGGCCACACCACAACGAGGCUCUGAAAAAGAAAAGCGCAUCUGUUAUGGUUUAAAGUUGAAAGAGCUAAAAAAUAUUCACCUACUCUUCCAAAAGAGCCCUGACCCCACAGCUGAAGGGCUAGAUGAUCAAUACUACUUCAUCCUGGAACAAAAAGGGGGCAUACUACUGGUGCAAAAUGGAGUGGAUAGGAAACAAGAUUGGGCCACAGACUGUUGCACUGUGAAAUUAAAGGUUGCUCCUGGGAAUCCUUGAACUGUUGUGUGCUGGGGCCUCGGACAGAAGGACGAGGAGCGAGGAGAGACAGAUGCCUGUGUUGGUGCAUGAAUAAAGUGUG